rnacentral:rRNA from 1 species
GAUGAACGCUGGCGGCGUGCCUAAUACAUGCAAGUCGAGCGAACGGACGAGAAGCUUGCUUUUCUGAUGUUAGCGGCGGACGGGUGAGUAACACGUGGAUAACCUACCUAUAAGACUGGGAUAACUUCGGGAAACCGGAGCUAAUACCGGAUAAUAUUUUGAACCGCGUGGUUCAAAAGUGAAAGACGGUCUUGCUGUCACUUAUAGAUGGAUCCGCGCUGCAUUAGCUAGUUGGUAAGGUAACGGCUUACCAAGGCAACGAUGCAUAGCCGACCUGAGAGGGUGAUCGGCCACACUGGAACUGAGACACGGUCCAGACUCCUACGGGAGGCAGCAGUAGGGAAUCUUCCGCAAUGGGCGAAAGCCUGACGGAGCAACGCCGCGUGAGUGAUGAAGGUCUUCGGAUCGUAAAACUCUGUUAUUAGGGAAGAACAUAUGUGUAAGUAACUGUGCACAUCUUGACGGUACCUAAUCAGAAAGCCACGGCUAACUAUGUG